rnacentral:rRNA from 1 species
GCGGUGAAAUGCGUAGAUAUGCGGAGGAACACCGAUGGCGAAGGCAAUCCCCUGGACCUGUACUGACGCUCAUGCACGAAAGCGUGGGGAGCAAACAGGAUUAGAUACCCUGGUAGUCCACGCCCUAAACGAUGUCAACUGGUUGUUGGGUCUUCACUGACUCAGUAACGAAGCUAACGCGUGAAGUUGACCGCCUGGGGAGUACGGCCGCAAGGUUGAAACUCAAAUGAAUUGACGG